UCUGAAUCCCGAUUCUCUCUCAAACUCUCUCUCAAAACCUAGCCGCCACCUUCAACCAACACCUAAAAUCGCCUAAAUCAAUGGCUUCUAAAGCCAUUGGAGGCCUGUAUCUAUAUGCCCGAUUAUCAUGGUUUCAAAGCUGAAUCCUGGAAAAGUUUUGUUCAGGCCUUGGUCAAUUUUAGUUCUAUGGUUGUCUCCGGUCAUCUUUGAAUUUGCUCUGACCAUCCACGGCUAUUCAAGCCUAAUUCUUGACUUCUCCAGCUUAGAUCGAUAAUUUUUCCAAGCCUUUCCCACCAUCUUGGGUUCUCCUGAAAUCCUAACCUUUGAGGUUCUCCCGAUUUCUUUUAGGUUUGUUUUAGAUAUGUAUUUUCUCUAAACUUCUAAACAUUUUUCUCAAGGUUUCUUUCAAAACUCUACCUUCAAGAACCUUUAUCUUUCCGAUUUUGGUUUUUGUUAAGUUAUAUCGAAGCUUUCUUUGAUUUUCAACAUGUUCUGCUGUGUUUCCUUAUGUUGUUCUUCUACUUGAGUCUGCAUGUUAAGGUCAUUCACCUUUUUUGAGAUUUCUGAAUCUAUUUCGUUAGUAUUUGUCUUGAUUUAUUUGUGUUUUAUCUCUAGACUCGACCGGUGUUAAAAAAACCCUAAAACUUUGGGUUCAUUCGAAUUCUGAGAUUAUUGGCUUUGUGAUUCACUUGUUCAUCAUCUCUAAAUUUGAUUGAUUUCAAAAUCCUAAUUUCUUUAGG
rnacentral:lncRNA from 1 species